rnacentral:tRNA from 1 species
UCUCUGAUGGUCCGUGGCUAGGACUCUGCACUCCCAAUGCAGUGGGCUGGAUUCAAUCCCUGGUUGGGGAG